UACGGAGGGUGCAAACGUUGCUCGGAAUUAUUGGGCGUAAAGCGCGCGUAGGCGGCCCGGUAAGUCCGUUGUGAAAGUCAAAGGCUCAACCUUUGAACGCCGAUGGAUACUGCCGGGCUAGAGUCCGGAAGAGGCGAGUGGAAUUCCUGGUGUAGCGGUGGAAUGCGCAGAUAUCAGGAGGAACACCAAUAGCGAAGGCAGCUCGCUGGGACGGUACUGACGCUGAGGCGCGAAAGCGUGGGGAGCGAACAGG
rnacentral:rRNA from 1 species